rnacentral:rRNA from 1 species
CAGCCGCCGCGGUAAUACGGAGGGUGCAAGCGUUAAUCGGAAUUACUGGGCGUAAAGCGCACGCAGGCGGUCUGACAAGUCAGAUGUGAAAUCCCCGGGCUUAACCUGGGAACUGCAUUUGAAACUGUCAGGCUGGAGUCUUGUAGAGGGGGGUGGAAUUCCAGGUGUAGCGGUGAAAUGCGUAGAGAUCUGGAGGAAUACCGGUGGCGAAGGCGGCCCCCUGGACAAAGACUGACGCUCAGGUGCGAAAGCGUGGGGAGCAAACAGGAUUAGAUACCCGUGUAGUCCAUGUCUCUUAUAC